rnacentral:rRNA from 1 species
UGCAGUCGAGCGGCAAGGGCAGCAAUGCCCCUAGAGCGGCGGACUGGUGAGUAACACGUGGGUGAUCUACCUCGGGGUUGGGGAUAGCCAUUAGAAAUAGUGGGUAAUACCGAAUACGCUGCCUUGGCUACGGCCAGGGCAGGAAAGGCGCUACGGCGCCGACCUGAGAUGAGCCCGCGCCCCAUUAGCUAGUUGGUGAGGUAACGGCCCACCAAGGCUAUGAUGGGUAGGCGGCCUGAGAGGGUGUACGCCCACACUGGGACUGAGAUACGGCCCAGACUCCUACGGGAGGCAGCAGCUAAGAAUAUUCCGCAAUGGACGAAAGUCUGACGGAGCGACGCCGCGUGGAUGAUGAAGGCCGGAAGGUUGUAAAAUCCUUUUGUCGGGGAAGAAUAACCAUGGGAGGGAAUGCCCGUGGGAUGACAUGAACCGGCGAAUAAGCCCCGGCUAACUACGUGCCAGCAGCCGCGGUAACACGUAGGGGGCGAGCGUUGUUCGGAAUUACUGGGCGUAAAGGGCAUGUAGGCGGUUUUGUAAGCCUGACGUGAAAUACCAUGGCUCAACCAUGGCACUGUGUUGGGAACUGCGAGACUUGAAUCAUGGAGAGGGAGCUGGAAUUCCAGGUGUAGGGGUGAAAUCUGUAGAUAUCUGGAAGAACACCAGUGGCGA